rnacentral:rRNA from 1 species
CUGGUGGCCUCAGGUCAUCCGAGUUGUAAUCUAUAGAAGUGUUUUCCGUGCUGGCUCAUGUACAAGUCCCUUGGAACAGGGCGUCAUAGAGGGUGAGAAUCCCGUCCUUGACAUGAACUACCAGUGCUCUGUGAUACAUUUUCAACGAGUCGAGUUGUUUGGGAAUGCAGCUCAAAAUGGGUGGUAAAUUCCAUCUAAAGCUAAAUAUUGGCGAGAGACCGAUAGCGAACAAGUACCGUGAGGGAAAGAUGAAAAGCACUUUGGAAAGAGAGUUAAACAGUAUGUGAAAUUGUUGAAAGGGAAACGAUUGAAGUCAGUCGUGCUCUUUGGAUUCAGCCGGUUCUGCCGGUGUACUUCCUUUGAGUGGGGUCAACAUCAGUUUUGAUCGCUGGAUAAAGGCUGGAGGAACGUAGUACCCUCGGGUAAACUUAUAGCCUCCUGUCACAUACAGUGGUUGGGACUGAGGAACGCAGCACGCCUUUAUGGCCGGGAUUCGUCCACGUACGUGCUUAGGAUGUUGACAUAAUGGCUUUAAACGACCCGUCUUG